rnacentral:rRNA from 1 species
CCUACGGGUGGCAGCAGUGGGGGAUAUUGCACAAUGGGGGAAACCCUGAUGCAGCGACGCCGCGUGGGCGAAGAAGUAUUUCGGUAUGUAAAGCCCUAUUAGCAGGGAAGAAGAAAUGACGGUAUCUGACGAAUAAGCCAUGGCUAACUACGUGCCAGCAGCUGCGGCAAUACGGAGGUGGCAAGCGUUGUCCGGGUUUACUGGGUGUAAAGGGUGUGUAGCCGGGUUGACAAGGCAGAUGUGAAAUCCUGCGGCUUAAACGCAGAACUGCAUUUGAAACUGUUGAUCUUGAGUACUGGAGAGGCAGACGGAAUUCCUGGUGUAGCGGAGAAAUGCGUAGAUAUUAGGAGGAACACCAGUGGCGAAGGCGGUCUGCUGGACAGCAACUGACGGUGAGGCGCGAAAGCGUGGGGAGCGAACAGGAUUAGAUACCCCUGUAGUC